UUACAACAAGAGAGGGAGACACGCCGAGAGAGAUCUUCCACCUGCUGCUUCACUCCCCAGAUGGCUGCAGUUGGCCAGACUGGAGCCAAGAGCCAGGAGCUUCUUCUGGGCUCCCACAUUCGAAAAGCUUGACCGCGGGGACAUCUGGAGGAACUACACAAACGGAUCUCAACCCCACACGGUGCCUCCAUGCCUCUGAGGCCCUUACAAGAGAAAGGUCUGGUCGAACGUGAACCCUUGCAAGUCAGAGUGGGGUUUGAACUCCAACGUGAGCCUGUGAGGAGACAAAGUCCAGGUGAACCGCAGCAACAGCCACGACAGCGGCCCACGAGAAAGCCCGAGGGACCGCCCUGUGGGCUCCCGCGCUGCUCGAACACUCUGACAUUCGCUGUGACUCCUGCAAGUGCUCCUUCCUGUGCCCACCCUUCACAACGGUGCUGAGAACUCAGAGAGGCCGAGGAUACUGUGGUGGGGCCGGUGCGGCCGUGCAGUGGAUGAGGCCACCACCUGCAGUGCCGGCAUCCCAUAUGGGUGCCGGUUCGAGUCCUGGCUGCUCCACUUCCCAUCCAGCUCUCUGCUAUGGCCUGGGAAAGCAGAAGAAGAUGGCCCAAGUCCUUGAGCCCCUGCACCCGCAUGGGAGACCCGGAGGAAGCUCCUGGCUCCUUGCUUCGGAUCGGCGCAGCUCCAGCCUUUGGCGGCCAUUUGAGGAGUGAACCACCGGAUGGAAGACCUCUCUCUCUCUCUAUCUCUCUUU